UGGGGAAUAUUGCACAAUGGGGGAAACCCUGAUGCAGCGACGCCGCGUGAACGAAGCAGGUAUUCGUAUCGUAAAGUUCUGUCCUAUGGGAAGAUAAUGACAGUACCAUAGAAGAAAGCUCCGGCUAAAUACGUGCCAGCAGCCGCGGUAAUACGUAUGGAGCGAGCGUUGUCCGGAAUUAUUGGGCGUAAAGGGUACGCAGGCGGGUUAAUAAGUCGAAUGUUAAAGAUCGGGGCUCAACCCCGCAAAGCAUUGGAAACUGAUAAACUUGAGUAGUGGAGAGGAAAGUGGAAUUCCUAGUGUAGUGGUGAAAUACGUAGAUAUUAGGAGGAAUACCAGUAGCGAAGGCGACUUUCUGGACACAAACUGACGCUGAGGUACGAAAGCGUAGGGAGCAAACAGG
rnacentral:rRNA from 1 species